rnacentral:lncRNA from 1 species
CUUUUUUUCAUUCUAGUUAUUAUCAUGGGAAGGAAUGAAGAAGAUUAGAGAUCCAAUCAAAUAUUGGUGAUGAAUCCCUCUCCCCCUCUUUUCUCUUUUUUCCCUUUUUAGAAUAAGGGAGGAAAGAGAAAGAAUAAAAACGCAAAAAGCGUGACUCUUUCCCUAAUCCAAGCAUAUAUCAACCGCAACAGUGCAACAUACAGAGGGAAGCCCAGAUCGAAGAUGCCUGGUCUAUAGAUAGCUCGAAUGCUUUGCUGUCCUAGAGUUGUAUUUGCUCCAGAAUUUCAAUAAUAGAAGGUCAGUUCUUCCAUUUCUUCACUGAAAAUUUAUUCAUGUCCAGUUAUUAGCUGGUAGAAAAAUAUACAUUGUUGAUUUAUAGCAUUCCAGUUUUCCUUUUUGUUGAGUUGUCCCACAUUGAAGGGAUUUGAGGUCUUUAGUCUCCUUAUAUGGCUUAGGCAAUCCUUACUUCAUAAGCUAGCUUUUGGGGUUGAGUUAGGCCCAAGGUCCAUUAUUAUCAUGGUAUCAAAGCCUGGCCCAUCUCAAUUAUUGUUACCGAUGUCGGGCUCCCAUUUAUGUUGUCCACGCUCCAGUGAUCUGGGCGUGAUGGGGGUGUUGAGUUGUCCCACAUCGGAGGGAUUUGAGGUCUUUAGUCUUCUUAUAUGGCUUGGGCAAUCCUCACUUCAUAAGCUAGCUUUUGGGAUUGAGUUAGGCCCAAGGUCCAUUCUUAUCACUUUUAUUGAUUUUUGUCGCGAUUGAUCUGAUUUGCUGCCUUCUCUCAACGUUAAAUAAUCUUAAUUCAUGUGAGUUUCAAGCUAUUUGAGUUCUAAAAUGGUUCGUCAUGCCUUGUUGCGGCAGAUUUAAGCUUAGACUUUGACUACACUUGAUGGGAAGAAAAAGUAUCCCUCUGCAGUAUCGUGUCUGUGUUGAUUCUUUGUGUUAGAGUGUUUUGCUUUCUUUAUUAUGAAAAGAGAAAACAGAAAUGCUAGCUUGGGCUCAAUUAUUUUUGCGAAGGAUAUCGACGGUUUGGCAAAUGUGGAACUUGAGUUGGAAUUUCAUUUAUUUGUGAAAUGUUUAAGGAUGUGCAUGUGUGUGGAUUGAUUUGUUCAUAUACCUCCAAAUAUUUAGCGUUCAUGUGAACUCAUUUCUUUGGAAUUUGAGAUUAUUAUCUAUUUUAUUCAAGCUUAAUGUUAAUUGUUCGUGUGGUGAUAUAAUUUUAUUAUUUAUAUAGUUGAUCUCUACGGUUUUGAAUUUGUUCACUUAGCUAUUUGUUCGUAUGUUUACUUAAAUUGGUUAUAGCUGAAUAUAAUUUUGUCUCGGUAUAAAAUUUGGAUUGUUGAACUACGUAAGUAGAUUCAAUAAACCGGGGUACAUUUCAUGUGAUAUGGCUUCAAUUUCGAACAAGGUUAGAUAAAGCGGGUCGUGAACCACGGGUGCAUUUCAUGUGACGUGGCUUCCGAUAUGUUUUAAAUAAUCUUGAAUUUUCCUUGAAUAAAUAAAAGCGGUUAGAAAGUUUACGGCCCUCCAACUGUUCUUUUAAAUUAGAAUAAGAGGGGUGUCCUGCCGUACAAAAAUGACAAUUGCACGGCCCUUAUUUGGUUAAUCUUGUUUUGUCCUUAGAAUUCGGGAUGGGCCGUUUAGCGAAUUUCACGGCCUUCCCCAAAGAUAAUAAUGCGUUAGUAUCUUUAGGCACGUAUUUUAAUAAUAUUACCUUCCUAAACUCGGGUGUUUCAUUUCAUGUGACCCAAAUCAAAUCCCAAAACGUUGAACAAAAUGUGUUCAGGAUUGCGGGUGCAUUUCAUGUGACACGGUCCAAAGAUACGUUUUAAACGAUGCUCAAUCUUCUAUUAAAAAAUAAUGGAGUAAAAGCCGUUAAAAGUUAAAAUUGGCACAUAGGUUCAUCAUAUAAUAAAAUCAGAUAAAUAAUCUAAACACGACAGUUGAGCGACCGUGCUUGAACCACGGAAUCUGGGAAUGUCUAACACCUUCUCCCGUGUUAACAAAAUUCCUUACUUGGAUUUUUGGUUCGCAGACUGUUAACAGAGUCAUGUUUUCCUCGGUUCGGGAUUCAACCGGUGAUUUGGGACACCAUUAAUCUCCCAAGUGGCGACUCUGAAUUUUAGUAACAAAUCCCGUUCCGAUUGUCCUUUAAUUGGAAAAACUCCUUUAUGCCUUUGCGAAUGUUGUGAAAAAGGAGGUGUGACAGCUCUGGCAACUCUGUUGUGGACAAGAACCCAAAACAUUUGUUGAGGGUUCAGAAUUUGGGCUUAGGAGAAUUGUUGUGUUUGGCUUUAUCUGAUUUUGUUACAUGAUCUGUGCCGAAUAUGUUAGUUGACUGCUUUUACUGCUUUGAUAUUUCGUGGAUUGUAUAUAAACUGUCCGAAACCCGUAUUCUCUCUGAGUCUUCUAAAUCAUGAAGAAGGGUGCACUUCGGUGACUUAUUUUCUGUAUAUAGUCUAAUUCCCAUUUAUAACGAGGUUCGGAUAAGUUGCUAAGCUGGCGAAGCUUCUGUAUUCCCCUUCGCUGCCUAUCCCUCGGCUCGAGCUGUCCGCUUAGGUAAGCCAGGUCUAGUACAAUAAACCCAGAUUUUUAAACCUAGAAUAACAAAGCGUCAUGGUGGAUCCUUGGUAGGAGCACUUUCUUGCAUCAUGUGCAGUUUGGCGUCGGGGACUUAACACAGGAGUUGGGUUCGUCUAGGACAGGUGCAUCCAAAAUAACAUACCAGCUUGAUGCAUCCUAUGUGCAACAUGUUGUAUUUCUUCAAAGGGUAAAAGGGUUAUUUGGCGGACCAAUGAAAGCUGAGGGUAAAUGAAAAAAAAGAAGGAAAAAAGAAAAUGAGGGUGAAGUGUCAAGACAAAGCAAGUUGGGCCCAAUUAUAUUUUUAAAAAAAGAAGAGCUUGAAAAUUCAGAAAAAAAAAAGAUUUUGUACUUUUUCAUCAUUUUUCAAAAAUCAGAAAAUCAAAAAAUUAGGAGAAAAAAAUCCAUAAAGAUUUUGUAUGUUUCAUCAUUUUUUAAGAAAAGCGAAAAAUAUGUUUUCUCUAAAUUAGUUUUUCUUUUUUAUUAUUCUCACCCGUAUCUGGCCGAACUAUGCAUACUCAAUUCUCGUCUUUCGGGGCGUGAUACGUAGGAAACCCACAUAGGGUCUGGUCUUCCUAGUACAUCUUAGGUUCUUGGCUUCGCGGGGUCUUAGCCAAAUCUUGUAUUUUUAGCCAUUUUAAGCCACAUAGGUUAAUUUUAGAAAAAUAUUCACAACCAUAUCUUGCAUGUAUCUAGUAGGGAAUGUUAUUAUCUCACAUAAUAUUGGUUUAAGUUUUCUCAUGCAGGUGUGGAUUUAUUUAUCAGAUUUUGAGCAUAACAGAUACUCAGGAUCACUGCAUUAAGAAGUUGCUUAAGGAGAUUUCUUUUAUGUCGUCUUUUAUUUUCUAGUUUUGUCUAGUAAUGUCGAAGUUAUUUUAUUACUUCCAUUUUUUGUUUUGCAUCUGGAAAAGUAUGUUAUAAAUCAAAAACAAAUGUUACAUUUUAUAUUUCCG